rnacentral:lncRNA from 1 species
AAAUAGCUAACCCAAUAGCAGAUUCCGCAGAUGCCACCGUUGGAACCAAUGAAGCAAAUGAUUGACCCAUCAUAUCAUCCGAAGAAACAGAAAAUACCAAAAAGUUCGAAUUCACAGCUAAUAACAUUGAUUCAAUUGGCAUUGACAUAAUAGGAAUAUUUCCAUAUCAUCCGAAGAAACAGAAAAUACCAAAAAGUUUGAAUUCACAGCUAAUAACAUUGAUUCAAUUGACAUUGACAUAAUAGGAAUAUUUCGUCUAUUAAGGAGGAUUCCCCGAAUACCUGGAAUAGAGAUAAUCAUAGAAAAUGUGAAAUAUUUGAUAGGAUCCAUUUCGAGAACGUAGAAUGUAAGAGAAAUUCAAAUGUGAAACAAUACGUCAGCUCUUCUAUAUCCUUCAAUUAUUGAAGAAAUAUGAUUUUUUAUACUCAUGUUUCCCUUCCCAUCCUGCUCCGCCAAGUGUUGCGCUCGGGUUAACCAAGCCCUCAAGUGCCGUAAUUUAGCCUUGGAGACAUUGGGUUUGUUGGCAUUAUAGGCAG